rnacentral:lncRNA from 1 species
ACUUUUCUUUCAAAAUGACUCUUCAUCAUGGUUUUCCUUUAAAGUUUUUCAAAAACUAUCUUCUCUGAUUCUUGAUGUUGCUUUAUGAUUUUAAUAUGUUCGGAUUACUUGUUAUGCUUUCUUUCUACUUGAGUCAGCGUACACCCUAGUUCCUUUUUGUCUCAUCCGCGUUCUGAAACUGCAUGUUCAAAUAUGUACUUGCUCGACUAAGUUCUUCGGUCUUAUUUAACUUAUUGGCUUCUGAGUUUUACUAUCUCUAAACUCGAUUAUUGUGGAAACCCCUAGGUCUUUAGAUUGAGACUGUUUGUUUGAAAGUAUACUUAACUCAAUUAAAGGCUCCUUGUUUCUGACUCUCGUUUCUUUAUGUGACUUAUCUAAUUCCAAGUUUACUAUCUUUUAACUCGACUAUUGUUGAAACCCUAACUUCUCAAAAGGUUUCCUCACCUAUUACUGUGAGACCUUUACUUGAUUUUGACUCUCUUCUUCGUUUUGGUUAAUAUGUGUGAGCCUUAGCUAUCUAACUUUGUUCACUACUUAAUUCUAUAAUUAUUUCUACUACUAUUGUAUGUUGUUUCUUUUUCCAAUGUGCUUGGUCUCGCAUGUAUGAUGCUUCUUUUAACUCUAUUUAUAUACUGAUUGAUCUUCCUUGAUUAUCUUGAUAUUGAGACGGAUUGCAAAAUUUUCUUACAAGCCUUAAUUUCUACUCAUCUGUUUAAAGUUAAUUGUUUCCUUUCCUUUGCUAUGAUAUUUUAACUUACUGAAUCUUUUCCAAAAUAAGCUUAUUUUCGUACUUAUACUUGAUUGUUUUCUUCGUUCUUUUACUACCCGUUUAUGGCAAUAGUCAAUCUGUCGCCAAACUGAUUUUCUUUCCUUAAUUGAAACCUGUUAGUAAAUGUUAAGCAUAAUUCCUUAAUUAAAUGGAAUCACUUGGGUUAAUUGACUCUGACUUAUGAUUGCUUCCAUGUUUGUGUUAAGACUUUACGUAUUACCGUACUUAUCACUUAAUUUUAAAACUAUAAAUACCCACCCCUCAUUUCUUUAAGACACGAACCAUCUGAGUUUAAAACAUACAAUUCACUCAAAACUCUCUCUUUUCUCUAUUACUUCUUGUGCUACUACUUUGUUUAGCUGGCUGAAUGCCAAUGCUAGGUUAUGAAAAUUUGCUCACUUUUUCUUUCUGCACUUUACUUCUUACUGGUAUGUCCUAGUUAAUUUUCAAGCAUCAACAAUAACAUAUUUCUGCAAUUUUUCCAACUUCUCUCAUGUUUGUUUACUUCUCCUUAUGUUUCUGCAAUUAAGUUACAUUAAUACCUUGUGGCAAUGUGUUCCUUCCCCUCUUAGAUUAAUGCUCUCCUACGUAAAUGAAUCCCACAUCCCAUUUUUGUGUUUGUGUUCUCCGGCUAGUUUGAGGACAUGCCAGCAUCAUCCAUUGUUAUGCAUGUCCAAACCUGACCCCUCCUAAGGUCAUAUGCUUCAUGCAAUGUAUUCCCAAAACCCCUGACCCCCUUUGUGCUACUACUGAUUUCUAUGUAUUUUAAGCUCCACUACUAAUAUUUUUCAAAUCACCCCUUAUUAAUUACUAUUUCCAACUCAGUUUUAAAUGAAUCUCUAUGUUCUGCACUUUCACUAUUUUCAAAAAACCUAAGUUUUGUCCCUCUUGUGUGAGUCUUGCCUUGGGACCCUUGAGCUUCCUCUGAUCUUGACCACAUAAGGGUUGGCCCUUCGACACUACACUCAUCUCUAUCCGUUUAUGCAAACCUACGUGUAUGCACUGCCCUGGGUCCCUUGAGACCCUAAGGGAACUUUGACACACCCGGUUCUGAGAAAGUCAUUAAAACAAGUGACAUUUGUGGUGGUUUAUUUCAUAACUCAGAGAGGAUGUCAAAAUCAGGCUUCUGAUGGUUGUAACUUCUCGUUUUACACUUUUCUAAUGUAAUUCAGUAUUUGCUUUGUAAUAAUUUGUAACAAAUAUUGGGGUUGUCUAGUGAAAAGGGAUGGGAUAAUUAUGUAUGUUUUAGCUAUUAGGAG